rnacentral:rRNA from 1 species
GGGGCGCAGCAGGCGCGAAACUUUACAAUGCGCGAAAGCGCGAUAAGGGGAUCCCGAGUGCCCUCGUCCAGCGAGGGCUUUUCUACGGUGUAAAAAGCCGUUGGAAUAAGGGCUGGGUAAGACAGGUGCCAGCCGCCGCGGUAACACCUGCAGCUCAAGCGAUGGCCGCUAUUAUUGGGCUUAAAGGGUCCGUAGCCGGCUGGGAAAGUCCGGCGGGAAAUUCCUGCGCUUAACGUAGGAGCUACCGCCGGAAACUGUCCAGCUUGGGACCGGGAGACCCGGGGGGUGCUACAGGGGUAGGAGUGAAAUCCUAAGAUCCUUGUAGAACCGCCUAUGGCGAAAGCACCCCGGGAGCCCGGAUCCGACGGUCAGGGACGAAAGCCAGGGGCGCGAACCGGAUUAGAUACCCGGGUAGUCCUGGCCGUCAACGAUGCCCGCUAGGUGUCACGCUCUCCACGAGGGAGCGUGGCCGCCGAAGCAAAAGCGCAAGCGGGCCGCCUGGGAAGUACGUCCGCAAGGAUGAAACUUAAAGGAAUUGGCGGGGGAGCACCACAACCGGAGGAGCCUGCGGUUUAAUUGGACUCAACGCCGGUCAUCUCACCGGCCCCGACACCGGGAGUGACGGUCAGUCUGAAGGUCUUACUCGACCCGGUGAGAGGUGGUGCAUGGCCGCCGUCAGCUCGUACCGCGAGGCGUCCUGCUCAGCCAGGCAACGAGCGAGACCCGCUCCCUCAGUUGCCAGCAUAUCGUCGGUCUUCCGACGGUGAUGGGUACACUGGGGGGACCGCUCUCGCUAAGAGAGAGGAAGGCGCGGGCAACGGUAGGUCCGUAUGCCCCGAAAGGGCCGGGCGACACGCGGGCUACAAUGGCGGGGACACCGGGAUGCGACUCCGAAAGGAGGAGCUAAUCCCCCAAACCCCGUCUCAGUUCGGAUCGAGGGCUGAAACCCGCUCUCGUGAAGUUGGAUUCGGUAGUAACCGUGUUUCAGGAAAGCACGGUGAAUACGUCCCUGCUCCUUGCACACACCGCCCGUCAAACCACCCGAGUGGGGUCUGGGCGAGGCCGCGAGAGCGGUCGA